GGACAACACAGGGCAGAGAAAUUCAAAACUACUGGACGGUAUAAAACCUGGUCUGCAGGCAGACAGCGGCUUUAUGGCUCGUGACAUCCCUACAUUUAGUGCCAACUGCAGGUAAUAACUGCCCCCUUCUUGAACUCUCCUGCCCCACCUUUAACUAGCUGGCCUAGUCUACUGCUCUCUGCCUCUCAAAACCUCCCGUUUACUCCUCUCCCUGGCCCACAGCCUUCCUCCAUCCCCCCAGGUGCACAGCAGGGCUCUUCCCUUUGAGGAUCAGCCUGCUGCCAGGCCUCUCAUCUUCCCUCUGGCACUCAGCCUGCCUCCGCUUUCCCCUCAGGCCCAGGACUGCUGGGCACCCCCACAAGCCUCCAGUAAGCGAGAUACUAAAGGAGCCCUGCCUCCACACAUCCCCAGGCAGAGAGUGGCUGGUCCUGAACCGCCCUGUGUGCACAGCCUUGGCACACUUGCCCCAGCCUGGGAUUUCCUCGUGAAUUGCAGAAAAGUGAACGCACAGUGUCCUGCCAGGAGCACGUCGCUGGAGCUGAAGGAGCCGGUGCGGGCGGGGCCCGCGGAGCUGCCCCGCGCGGGAUUCAAACCGCAGCAGCGACGGCCCGAGACGACCCCUAUCCAUCCCAUCCCCACGGGAGGCGGAGCAGGGCCGGGCUGCGUGUCCGCCCCACCCCCGGGAGUGCGGCCGGGUGGUGGGGCGAGCUCACCUCCUCCCGCCGUGGCGCUACCCCGCCGCCAUGGCCCGGCCGCCACCGCCGCCACAGUUCCCCUCACGCCACCCGCGCUGCCCUCUCUCCGCCCUCACUUCCGGCCCCGCCGGGCGCCCGCGGGCGGAAGUGAGUUUGUUGUCCUCACGGACGCCCUGCCCCCUGCAGGAAGAUGUCACGUGGCGCUGACGUUACGCGGAGCGGAGGUUGAAGCAGAGCGAGCGCAACCUCUUCUUAAAGGGCCAGUCGCACGCUGGGGAUCGGGGCUGGACUGUAACUGCAUUAGGUUUAUGUUUCACGAGUGUUUCCUCCUCCCCCUAGAAAAGAGGAGUCUGUAGGCAACCCCUCCUUCGGGGAUAUGGGGGCUUGUCCCCAUUGUAAGGAUGGGGAAACUGAGGCCCAGCCAAGGAGGCAACUGGCUCAGGCUCACGCCAAUAGCAGCAGGAUGGCCAGG
rnacentral:lncRNA from 1 species